rnacentral:rRNA from 1 species
CCUACGGGAGGCAGCAGUGGGGAAUAUUGGGCAAUGGGCGCAAGCCUGACCCAGCAACGCCGCGUGAAGGAAGAAGGCUUUCGGGUUGUAAACUUCUUUUAAGAGGGAAGAGCAGAAGACGGUACCUCUUGAAUAAGCCACGGCUAACUACGUGCCAGCAGCCGCGGUAAUACGUAGGUGGCAAGCGUUGUCCGGAUUUACUGGGUGGAAAGGGCGUGCAGCCGGGAAGACAAGUCAGCGGUAAAAUCGCGGGGCUCAACCUCGCUCCGCCGUUGAAACUGGCGUUCUUGAGUGGGCGAGAAGUAUGCGGAAUGCGUGGUGUAGCGGUGAAAUGCAUAGAUAUCACGCAGAACUCCGAUUGCGAAGGCAGCAUACCGGCGCCCAACUGACGCUGAAGCACGAAAGCGUGGGUAUCGAACAGGAUUAGAUACCCUUGUAGUC